CUUCCUUUUGUGGAGUCUGAGAAUGGAUCUAGAAGCUUAACAUUAGGUGGAGAAAUUUAUAAUAUAUUCUAUAGGUGCAGUGUUUUGCAAUUUGAGAUGAAAUUAUAGUGCAAGCAAUGCACUGUAUUAAUUUAAAACUAGUUAACAAUUAAUUUUAAACAAUUUUAAAACAAUUAUACGAACACACAGACAACAGCUAUAGCAUUCAUAUAGAUGCAAAAGCAUUUCCCUCAGUGCAGCUGUUACCCUUUUAAAAGAAGGAAGAAUCCAAGCAUAUGAAAGAUGUGGGGGAUUUAGUGUCAUUUCUAAUGGUAUUGUCAGUGUUUCUCUUCUUGAGUCCUUAGAAAGAAAAUCCAUCAAACGAUAAAGAAGAUGGAAGAGUUGAGUCUAAACAAUUUCAGGUACCUUAAAACUAACAAGGAGGGUCCCUUAGCACCGCUGUCCAGGCUUUGGUGGCCCAGAGUUGGAAUUAGAACUGCAGAAUGUUACCCUAAAUAAGCUUGCUGCAGGACUUACACAAGCACAGUUAGACUUUUCUGAGAAAAGCUAUUCAUGUUAAAGUUUGUGUUAAAAUACUGAAAAGCAUUUUCCUUUUCCACAGAAGAAAUCUGUCUCCCUGACCUGCAGCAACAGCUAUUUCUAAUACUUGAUAAAUCAGAGUGGUGGUUCUGCCAGCCCAAAGUACAGCUUUGCAGGCCUCCGUCUUGCCUCCAGCUCAUCUCAAAUUUUCUUCUCAGGGCAUUGUUCAGACUACACCUAUUACCAGGAUCACCUGGUUCUGCAGAAAAUACAUACAGCAACAGGUUUUGUCAUAUUAUCCUGGUCGGUCUCCUGUUCCACCCUGGCCCUUCCUAGAACUGGGAGCAGGACUGGCUGGCCUGCAGCUUUCCAAGCAGAGUGCAGAGGCUGCAGAAGGACUUCAGUUGGCCUGAAGUGGUUCAGGAAGAGCUGAAAGCAAAUCUUCCCCAAGGCCCUGGUGUAAUCCACAGCAAGGUCAGAUUCCUCUGGAGUAACAAGGCUUUGCAAACUGUCAGUAGCAUGCAGACAGGCUUAGCUAACACAGUUUAGAGAAAUUGCUGGUAAGUGAAAAGGUAUCAUUCAUCAGUCUGAGGGAAUAAUCCUCAUAUAAGACUAUAAAUCAUUUGGUCUGUCAUUUUAUUGUGCCUGGGAUUAAGUUGUACAAAUUCUGGAAACACAGCAUCUCUGACUUCCUCUCUUCAACGAAACUACACAUGGUUUGCCCAAAAACUCCCGUGUUUGUCAUCAUAUGGGAGAGCCAACAUGGGGAUUUUUCCUACAAAAUGGAGUAAAACCCUGAGCCUGCUUAUCUUUGGAAUAACUGCCAGCAUGAUAGCAGAGUUUUGUAAUACUUUUGUGUGUUCCUAAGUCUUCUGCAGAGCCAUUCUUCUUAUCGGGGG